CGGGUCCUACGGGACGCAGCAGUGAGGAAUAUUGGUCAAUGGCCGGAAGGCUGAACCAGCCACGUCGCGUGAGGGAAUAAGGCCCUAUGGGUCGUAAACCUCUUUUGUCAGGGAGCAAAGGCGUCCACGAGUGGACGAAAGGAGAGUACCUGAAGAAAAAGCAUCGGCUAACUCCGUGCCAGCAGCCGCGGUAAUACGGAGGAUGCGAGCGUUAUCCGGAUUUAUUGGGGUUAAAGGGUGCGUAGGCGGAGUGUCAAGUCAGCGGUAAAAUUUCGGGGCUCAACCCCGGCGGGCAG
rnacentral:rRNA from 1 species